AAAUUGAAGAGUUUGAUCAUGGCUCAGAUUGAACGCUGGCGGCAGGCCUAACACAUGCAAGUCGAACGGUAACAGGAAGCAGCUUGCUGCUUUGCUGACGAGUGGCGGACGGGUGAGUAAUGUCUGGGAAACUGCCUGAUGGAGGGGGAUAACUACUGGAAACGGUGGCUAAUACCGCAUAACGUCGCAAGACCAAAGAGGGGGACCUUCGGGCCUCUUGCCAUCAGAUGUGCCCAGAUGGGAUUAGCUUGUUGGUGAGGUAACGGCUCACCAAGGCGACGAUCCCUAGCUGGUCUGAGAGGAUGACCAGCCACACUGGAACUGAGACACGGUCCAGACUCCUACGGGAGGCAGCAGUGGGGAAUAUUGCACAAUGGGCGCAAGCCUGAUGCAGCCAUGCCGCGUGUAUGAAGAAGGCCUUCGGGUUGUAAAGUACUUUCAGCGGGGAGGAAGGUGUUGUGGUUAAUAACCGCAGCAAUUGACGUUACCCGCAGAAGAAGCACCGGCUAACUCCGUGCCAGCAGCCGCGGUAAUACGGAGGGUGCAAGCGUUAAUCGGAAUUACUGGGCGUAAAGCGCACGCAGGCGGUCUGUCAAGUCGGAUGUGAAAUCCCCGGGCUCAACCUGGGAACUGCAUUCGAAACUGGCAGGCUUGAGUCUUGUAGAGGGGGGUAGAAUUCCAGGUGUAGCGGUGAAAUGCGUAGAGAUCUGGAGGAAUACCGGUGGCGAAGGCGGCCCCCUGGACAAAGACUGACGCUCAGGUGCGAAAGCGUGGGGAGCAAACAGGAUUAGAUACCCUGGUAGUCCACGCCGUAAACGAUGUCUACUUGGAGGUUGUGCCCUUGAGGCGUGGCUUCCGGAGCUAACGCGUUAAGUAGACCGCCUGGGGAGUACGGCCGCAAGGUUAAAACUCAAAUGAAUUGACGGGGGCCCGCACAAGCGGUGGAGCAUGUGGUUUAAUUCGAUGCAACGCGAAGAACCUUACCUGGUCUUGACAUCCACGGAAGAAUUUCAGAGAUGGAUUUGUGCCUUCGGGAACCGUGAGACAGGUGCUGCAUGGCUGUCGUCAGCUCGUGUUGUGAAAUGUUGGGUUAAGUCCCGCAACGAGCGCAACCCUUAUCCUUUGUUGCCAGCGGUCGGCCGGGAACUCAAAGGAGACUGCCAGUGAUAAACUGGAGGAAGGUGGGGAUGACGUCAAGUCAUCAUGGCCCUUACGACCAGGGCUACACACGUGCUACAAUGGCGCAUACAAAGAGAAGCGACCUCGCGAGAGCAAGCGGACCUCAUAAAGUGCGUCGUAGUCCGGAUUGGAGUCUGCAACUCGACUCCAUGAAGUCGGAAUCGCUAGUAAUCGUGGAUCAGAAUGCCACGGUGAAUACGUUCCCGGGCCUUGUACACACCGCCCGUCACACCAUGGGAGUGGGUUGCAAAAGAAGUAGGUAGCUUAACCUUCGGGAGGGCGCUUACCACUUUGUGAUUCAUGACUGGGGUGAAGUCGUAACAAGGUAACCGUAGGGGAACCUGCGGUUGGAUCACCUCCUUACCUUAAAGAA
rnacentral:rRNA from 2 species